AUACUCUGGCAGUAGAGUUACUAAAAUUAAACCAAAGAUUAGUAUGGUCCCUACACAAGGAAGAUACGAAAAUUCCUGAGACCAUCUGUAUUUUA
ensembl:snRNA Gm25657 predicted gene, 25657